UCACUGGUAGUUUAGAUGAUAAAGAAUCUGCCUGCAAUGCAGAAGACCUAGGUUCAAUCCCUGGGUUGGGAA
rfam:Ovis aries breed Texel chromosome 17, whole genome shotgun sequence.